GACGAACCACACAAACGUUAUUCGGAACUACUGGGCUUAAAGGGUGCGUAGGCGGCGCAGAAAGUAGGGUGUGAAAUCCCUCGGCUCAACCGAGGAACUGCGCCCUAAACUACUGUGCUCGAGGGAGGUAGAGGUGAGCGGAACUUAGGGUGGAGCGGUGAAAUGCGUUGAUAUCCUAAGGAACACCGGUGGCGAAAGCGGCUCACUGGACCUCUUCUGACGCUGAGGCACGAAAGCUAGGGUAGCGAACGGG
rnacentral:rRNA from 1 species